CUACGGGGCGCAGCAGUGAGGAAUAUCGCACAAUGGGGGGAACCCUGAUGCAGCAACGCCGCGUGGAGGAUGACGCAUUUCGGUGUGUAAACUCCUUUUAUAUGUCAAGAAAAUGACGGUAGCAUAUGAAUAAGCACCGGCUAACUCCGUGCCAGCAGCCGCGGUAAUACGGAGGGUGCAAGCGUUACUCGGAAUCACUGGGCGUAAAGGACGCGUAGGCGGGUUGGAAAGUCAGGUGUGAAAUCCUACAGCUUAACUGUAGAACUGCACUUGAAACUUCUAAUCUAGAGUAUGGGAGGGGGAGAUGGAAUUAGUGGUGUAGGGGUAAAAUUCGUAGAUAUCACUAGGAAUACCUAAAGCGAAGGCGAUCUCCUGGAACAUUACUGACGCUAAGGCGUGAAAGCGUGGGGAGCAAACAGGAUUAGAUACCCCUGUAGUC
rnacentral:rRNA from 1 species